rnacentral:tRNA from 2 species
GGGGCCGUGGCGCAGUUGGUAGCGCAUCUGCUUUGCAAGCAGAGGGUCGCCGGUUCGAGUCCGGUCGGCUCCA